GAGUUUGAUUCUGGCUCAGGAUGAACGCUGGCGGCGUGCCUAACACAUGCAAGUCGAACGGAGAGCAUAAACGGAAGUUUUCGGAUGGAAGUUUAUGUUCUUAGUGGCGGACGGGUGAGUAACGCGUGGGCAACCUGCCUCAUACAGGGGGAUAACAGACGGAAACGUCUGCUAAGACCGCAUAAGUCGUCUUUGUCGCAUGACAGAGACGGGAAAAGAGCAAUCUGGUAUGAGAUGGGCCCGCGUCCGAUUAGCUAGUUGGUAAGGUAAAAGCUUACCAAGGCGACGAUCGGUAGCCGGACUGAGAGGUCGGACGGCCACAUUGGGACUGAGACACGGCCCAAACUCCUAUCGGGAGGCAGCACGUGGGGGAUAUUGCAUCAAUGGAGGAAAGCUCUGAUGCAGCGACCG
rnacentral:rRNA from 1 species